rnacentral:rRNA from 1 species
CGAAGCCUGACGGAGCAAUACCGCGUGAGGGAAGAAGGCUUUUGGGUUGUAAACCUCUUUUGUCAGGGAAGAAGAAUUGACGGUACCUGAAGAAAAAGCAUCGGCUAACUCCGUGCCAGCAGCCGCGGUAAUACGGAGGAUGCAAGCGUUAUCCGGAAUCAUUGGGCGUAAAGGGUCCGCAGGUGGCGAAUAAAGUCUGCUGUUAAAGACCGGGGCUAAACUCCGGAAAGGCAGUGGAAACUGAUUAGCUAGAGUACGGUAGGGGUAGAGGGAAUUCCCAGUGUAGCGGUGAAAUGCGUAGAUAUUGGGAAGAACACCGGUGGCGAAAGCGCUCUACUAGGCCGAAACUGACACUGAGGGACGAAAGCUAGGGUAGCGAAAGGGAUUAGAUACCCCUGUAGUCUUAGCUGUAAACGAUGGAUACCAGGCGUAGCUUGUAUCGACCCGAGCUGUGCCGAAGCUAACGCGAUAAGUAUCCCGCCUGGGGAGUACGCACGCAAGUGUGAAACUCAAAGGAAUUGGCGGGGGCCCGCACAAGCGGUGGGGUAUGUGGUUUAAUUCGAUGCAACGCGAAGAACCUUACCAGGGCUUGACAUGUCGCGAAUCUGGCGGAAACGUUAGAGUGCCUUAGGGAACGCGAACACAGGUGGUGCAUGGCUGUCGUCAGCUCGUGUCGUGAGAUGUUGGGUUAAGUCCCGCAACGAGCGCAACCCUCGUCCUUAGUUGCCAAUAUUAAGUUAGGCACUCUAGGGAGACUGCCGGGGACAACUCGGAGGAAGGUGGGGAUGACGUCAAGUCAGCAUGCCCCUUACGUCCUGGGCGACACACGUACUACAAUGGUUGGGACAAAGGGCAGCAAGCUCGCGAGAGUAAGCGAAUCUCAUCAAACCCAGCCACAGUUCAGAUUGCAGGCUGCAACUCGCCUGCAUGAAGUAGGAAUCGCUAGUAAUCGCAGGUCAGCAUACUGCGGUGAAUUCGUUCCCGGGCCUUGUACACACCGCCCGUCACACCAUGGAAGCUGGCUACGCCCGAAGUCGUUACCCUAACCCGGUUUUGGGAGGGGGAUGCCGAAGGUAGAGCUAGUGACUGGGGUGAAGUCGUAACAAGGUAGCCGUACCGGAAGGUGUGGCUGGAUCACCUCCUUU